rnacentral:rRNA from 1 species
CACCUUUGACAUGUACGGAAUCCUUUAGAGAUAGAGGAGUGCUCGAAAGAGAGCCGUAACACAGGUGCUGCAUGGCUGUCGUCAGCUCGUGUCGUGAGAUGUUGGGUUAAGUCCCGCAACGAGCGCAACCCUUGCCAUUAGUUGCUACGAAAGGGCACUCUAAUGGGACUGCCGGUGACAAACCGGAGGAAGGUGGGGAUGACGUCAAGUCCUCAUGGCCCUUAUAGGUGGGGCUACACACG